CCCCACACGCAGCACCCUUACACAUAUAGCACACACACAGCACCCCCCCCACACACACACACACAGCACCCCUCACAUACAACACUCACACACACACACCCCCCACCUCAAUGCAGUAUGUGUGUAUUCAGCAGUGUGUGUGUGUGCGUGUAUUCAGCCGUCUGUGUGUGUUUGCGUGUAUUCAGCGGACUGUGUGUGUGUGUACUGAGCAGUCUGUGUGUGUGUAUUCAGUGUGUGUGUGUAUUCAGCAGUGUGUGUGUGUGUAUUCAGCAGUGUGUGUGUGUGUAUUCAGCAGUGUGUGUGUGUGUGUACUCGGCAGUCUGUGUGUGUGUACUCGGCAGUCUGUGUGUGUGUAUUCAGCAGUGUGUGUACUCAGCAAUCUGUGUGUGUGUCUACUCAGCAAUCUGUGUGUGUGUGUACUCAGCAGUCUAUGUAUUCAGCAGUCUUGUGUGUGUAUGUAUUGCAUUUGUUGGAGAUACUAAUAAAUAUAAGCUUAAUUUUAUCUAUUUAUAUCAUUAUUUAAAAUUUGUAUCAUUGAACUCUGUGUUCUUUUAAAACAAAAGUUAUUAGUUCGGAC